UGGGCUGCAGUGUCCUCAUCUGUGCAACGGGGCUGCUCUGAUGUGUAGGACACACUGGAAAUGUGUCUGCAGCCAUGCACAUCCGGAAUAAUGCACCCCAAAGUCAGAAUGAGAUGCAGCGACACAUGAGAUGAUGGGGUGCAGGGGUGGGGAGGGGAAAAAAAAACACACAGGUUUUCACUUUUAAAACGGUAUAUUUUGAAUUUGUAACCGCAAGGGUUACCUGUGUUAUAUUUAAAAAUAAAUAAUAUAUUUGUUUAAUAUUUUAUUUUAAAUUAUUUAUUUAAACAAAUAAUAUAUAAAAUGGCUGAUAGAGAAUAGGUGAUAAAUGGUCACUACUAUUUAUUUAUUUAUUUAUUUAUUUAUUUAUUUUUAGAGGAGCAAAUGAGCGCAGGCCCCCCCCACGUUAUGCUGGCGUUUCCCACAUUUGGGGAAAUCUCGGGGGUCAGCACAUGUGGAGAGUAAUGGAUAAGCCUCGCCCUGAGAAAACCACCUUGGCGAUCAAUGUAUCUCCCCUGCCAGCUCACACGCCACAUAAAUCAAGACUCAGCAUCGUGUGAAGACUGAAAGCCGCCCGGUCCUGAUGCCCAGAGUUCUUCGCGGUCGCAGACGCCCUCUCGGAGCCCAGCAAGUCUCAGCAGGGAGCGCCCGUGAUCGAGUACGUCCGUGUGUUCUCACAGCAGGCCUGGCCUCGGUGCCAGGGGCGGGGGGGAAAAGUGAUGUUGCUCUUGGGGCAGAACCUGUCUUUCUGACUAAGAAAUCUGGCAGCAGAGACGCCAGCAGGACCAAGAUCUGUAACGUCGUCUCGGCUUGGCAGGCUCUUGGUGCCUUGGGGUUCCUGGACCAGAAUGUGAGGUGCUGGCCCUGGCUGGGUGACUCAGUUAGUUGGGGCAUCCUCCUGCUAUGCCAAGGUUUUAGGUUUGAUCGCUGGUCAGGGAACAUAUAAGAAUCAACCAGUGAAUGCAU